rnacentral:rRNA from 1 species
AUUGAACGCUGGCGGCAGGCUUAACACAUGCAAGUCGAACGAGUGGCGGACGGGUGAGUAAUGCUUGGGAAUCUGGCUUAUGGAGGGGGAUAACUACGGGAAACGGUGGCUAAUACCGCAUACCAUAGGAUGAGCCCAAGUGGGAUUAGGUAGUUGGUGGGGUAAAGGCUCACCAAGAAGACGAUCCCUAGCUGGUCUGAGAGGAUGACCAGCCACACGGGGACUGAGACACGGCCCAGACUCCUACGGGAGGCAGCAGUGGGGAAUAUUGCGCAAUGGGCGAAAGCUGACGCAGCCAUGCCGCGUGAAUGAAGAAGGCCUUCGGGUUGUAAAGCUCUGUCGGUAGGGAGGCGUUAACUACAGAAGAAGCACCGGCUAACUCCGUGCCAGCAGCCGCGGUAAUUC